AUUGAACGCUGGCGGCAUGCCUUACACAUGCAAGUCGAACGGUAGCGGGCCUUCGGGUACCGACGAGUGGCGAACGGGUGAGUAAUGCUUAGGAAUCUGCCUAUUAGUGGGGGACAACAUUCCGAAAGGAAUGCUAAUACCGCAUACGCCCUACGGGGGAAAGCAGGGGAUGUUCGGACCUUGCGCUAAUAGAUGAGCCUAAGUCAGAUUAGCUAGUUGGUGGGGUAAAGGCCUACCAAGGCGACGAUCCGUAGCGGGUCUGAGAGGAUGAUCAGCCACACUGGGACUGAGACACGGCCCAGACUCCUACGGGAGGCAGCAGUGGGGAAUAUUGGACAAUGGGCGCAAGCCUGAUCCAGCAAUACCGCGUGUGUGAAGAAGGCCUGAGGGUUGUAAAGCACUUUCAAUGGGAAGGAACACCUAUCGGUUAAUACCCGGUAGACUGACAUUACCCAUACAAGAAGCACCGGCUAACUCCGUGCCAGCAGCCGCCGUAAUAC
rnacentral:rRNA from 1 species